AAUAGAUACCCUGGUAGUCCACGCCGUAAACGAUGAGUGCUAAGUGUUAGGGGGUUUCCGCCCCUUAGUGCUGCAGCUAACGCAUUAAGCACUCCGCCUGGGGAGUACGGUCGCAAGACUGAAACUCAAAGGAAUUGACGGGGGCCCGCACAAGCGGUGGAGCAUGUGGUUUAAUUCGAAGCAACGCGAAGAACCUUACCAGGUCUUGACAUCCCAUUGACCACUAUGGAGACAUAGUUUUCCCUUCGGGGACAGCGGUGACAGGUGGUGCAUGGUUGUCGUCAGCUCGUGUCGUGAGAUGUUGGGUUAAGUCCCGCAACGAGCGCAACCCUUGUUCUUAGUUGCCAUCAUUUAGUUGGGCACUCUAAGGAGACUGCCGGUGACAAACCGGAGGAAGGUGGGGAUGACGUCAAAUCAUCAUGCCCCUUAUGACCUGGGCUACACACGUGCUACAAUGGACGGUACAAACGGUUGCCAACCCGCGAGGGGAGCUAAUCCGAUAAAACCGUUCUCAGUUCGGAUUGUAGGCUGCAACUCGCCUAC
rnacentral:rRNA from 1 species